rnacentral:misc_RNA from 1 species
AAGACUAUAGACCUGCGGAGUACCUGCGGAAGGAUCAUUACAGAGUUGCAAAACUCCCUAAACCAUUGUGAACGUUACCUAAACCGUUGCUUCGGCGGGCGGCGCGCCCUCGCGCGCGCCCCUGGGCCCCACCGCGGGCGCCCGCCGGAGGUCACCAAACUCUUGAUAUUAAUUGGCCUCUCUGAGUCUUCUGUACUGAAUAAGUCAAAACUUUCAACAAUGGAUCUCUAGAUCGGAAGA